rnacentral:rRNA from 1 species
UACGUAGGGGGCAAGCGUUGUCCGGAAUCAUUGGGCGUAAAGAGCGCGUAGGCGGCCCUGUAAGUCCGCUGUGAAAGUCAAGGGCUCAACCCUUGGAUGCCGGUGGAUACUGCAGGGCUAGAGUCCGGAAGAGGCGAGUGGAAUUCCUGGUGUAGCGGUGAAAUGCGCAGAUAUCAGGAGGAACACCGAUGGCGAAAGCGACUCUCUGGACGGCAACUGACGCUGAGGCACGAAAGCGUGGGGAGCAAACAGG